AUGGACCAUGAGAUUCCAUACAAUAGGUCCUAUGCGUGGGACUCGGAGGAUGAAGGCCCGGAUGAAGAAAUAGAUGAGGAUGGUUUGACGGUUAAAGAAGCCAAUGCUUUCAAGAAGGUAAUAGGCCGUAGUCACAAGACAUCAUUGUUUCGUGAUCUAAGCCUAGCUGAUAAGGCGAUUGUUGAUGGUGGCACAAGUAAAAUUCUUGCACCAAGGUUAACUUCAAAGCGAGAUACCAAAGCAAGUGUGUAUGGUGUUAGUGAAGGAACAAUCUUUGAAAGCUUGACAGAACUUCAAAUAUGGGCCAAGGACUACGCGGUUAAGUUUCAUCGGCCAUUCACUAUGGAGAAGUCAAACUCGAAAGUGCGUUAUGUGGUCAAAUGUGACGAACACAAGAAUCAUUGCCCUUGGGUUAUCCGUGCAAGAUGUGUCAAAGGCGGGCCAUAA
rnacentral:rRNA from 1 species